UCCGUUGUGGUCUAGUGGCUAGGAUUUGCCGCUCUCAGCACAAGAGCAUUGCUAUAACGCAGUACCGGCAAGGCCGGGGUUCGAUUCCCCGCAACGGAA